rnacentral:rRNA from 1 species
AGAGUUUGAUCCUGGCUCAGAACGAACGCUGGCAGCGUGGAUGAGGCAUGCAAGUCGAGCGGGAUCCCCGGUGUAGCAAUACAUCGGGGUGAGAGCGGCGGAAGGGCGAGGAACGCGCGGGUAAUCUGCCUCCGAGAUGGGGAUAACCUGCCGAAAGGCGGGCUAAUACCGAAUAUGAUGGUCCGGCGCAUGCUGGAUUGAUCGAAGAUGGGGACCCUUCAGGGCCUGUCGCUGGGAGAGGAACCCGCGUCCUAUCAGCUAGUUGGCGAGGUAACGGCUCACCAAGGCGAUGACGGGUAGCUGGUCUGAGAGGAUGGUCAGCCGCACUGGGACUGAGACACUGCCCAGACUCCUACGGGAGGCUGCAGUCGAGGAUCUUUUGCAAUGCACGAAAGUGUGACAAAGCGACGCUGCGUGGAGGAUGAAGGCCUUCGGGUUGUAAACUCCUGUCGUCUGGGAACAAUGACGGGCGGGUGAAUAUCCCGUCUGAGUGAGAGUACCGGAAGAGGAAGCCACGGCAAACUCUGUGCCAGCAGCCGCGGUAAUACAGAGGUGGCGAGCGUUGUUCGGAUUUACUGGGCGUAAAGGGUGCGUAGGCGGUUCCGUGUGUCGAACGUGAAAUCCCACUGCUCAACGGUGGAAUGGCGUUCGAAACUACGGAGCUAGAGUGCAGGCAGGGAGAGCGGAAUUCCUGGUGUAGCGGUGAAAUGCGUUGAGAUCAGGAAGAACACCGGUGGCGAAGGCGGCUCUCUGGUAUGCAACUGACGCUGAGGCACGAAAGCUGGGGGAGCAAACAGGAUUAGAUACCCUGGUAGUCCCAGCCCUAAACGGUGUGCACUUGGUGUUGGCGGAAUUGACCCCGCCAGUGCCGGAGCGAACGCGUUAAGUGCACCGCCUGGGGAGUACGGCCGCAAGGUUAAAACUCAAAGAAAUUGACGGGGGCCCGCACAAGCGGAGGAGCAUGUGGCUCAAUUCGAUGCAACGCGAAGAACCUUACCAGGGCUUGACUACCAGCUGCAGGCCCGCUGAAAGGCGGGCGGCCUUCGAGGGUGCUGGAACAGGUGCUGCAUGGCUGUCGUCAGUUCGUGCCGUGAGGUGUUGGGUUAAGUCCCGCAACGAACGCAACCCCUAUGUCUAGUUGCUACCGAUGCGAUAAGUUUCGGGCACUCUAGACAGACUGCCUGUACAAGCAGGAGGAAGGUGGGGAUGACGUCAAGUCAGUAUGGCCCUUACGUCCUGGGCUGCACACGUGCUACAAUGACCGGUACAGAGGGAUGCAAGACCGCGAGGUGGAGCGAAUCCCCAAAACCGGCCUCAGUUCAGAUUGAAGGCUGCAACUCGCCUUCAUGAAGUCGGAUUCGCUAGUAACGGCGUAUCAGCUACGGCGCCGUGAAUACGUUCCCGGGCCUUGUACACACCGCCCGUCACAUCAUGAAAGCCGUCUGCACCCGAAGUCGCCGAGUCAACCCGCAAGGGAGACAGGUGCCGAAGGUGUGGGUGGUGAUUGGGAUGAAGUCGUAACAAGGUAGCCGUAGGGGAACCUGCGGUUGGAUCACCUCCUU